rnacentral:rRNA from 1 species
AGAGCGAACGCUGGCGGCAGGCUUAACACAUGCAAGUCGAGCGGGCGUAGCAAUACGUCAGCGGCAGACGGGUGAGUAACGCGUGGGAACAUACCUUUUGGUUCGGAACAACCCAGGGAAACUUGGGCUAAUACCGGAUAAGCCCUUACGGGGAAAGAUUUAUCGCCGAAAGAUUGGCCCGCGUCUGAUUAGCUAGUUGGUGAGGUAACGGCUCACCAAGGCGACGAUCAGUAGCUGGUCUGAGAGGAUGAUCAGCCACAUUGGGACUGAGACACGGCCCAAACUCCUACGGGAGGCAGCAGUGGGGAAUAUUGGACAAUGGGCGCAAGCCUGAUCCAGCCAUGCCGCGUGAGUGAUGAAGGCCCUAGGGUUGUAAAGCUCUUUUGUGCGGGAAGAUAAUGACGGUACCGCAAGAAUAAAGCCCCGGCUAACUUCGUGCCAGCAGCCGC